GCCGAAGUGGCGGAACGGUAGACGCGCUACGUUCAGGGCGUAGUGGGCAGCAGCCCGUGUGGGUUCAAAUCCCUCCUUCGGCACCA
rnacentral:tRNA from 1 species